ACCCAGUUGCUGAAGAAUUGGAAGGACUAAAAAUCUGUUUUUCAAAAAAAGUUACCAUUGUGGAAAAUGUCUACAGAGGCAGCUGUUCUAUCCAGAGAGGAACGUCAAAAGUUGCACAGAAUUUCCACUACUUCUGAAAGCAACCUGUUCCACCCAGAAAAGAAGUUACUUAUGAAUGAAAGUCUUACCCUUGUUAGGAAAGAGGAGGAUCAUUUGAAUCAAUAAAGGAAGGCAUUAUCAGAAAGGCAUUCAGGAAGCAGAAUCCCAUGCCUCAGAACCACACUGGAAUCAAGGAGUUUCAUGGGACGACUGGAAGAUGGGGGAAGGCAACUUCAGUCAACAUGACUCCUAAAGACAUACUCAAUAUGCAAGCCUACUUCUUGAAAGCCUUUUAGAAGUGGCUUUUCCUUCAAGUUUACGGCAGAACCAACUCUAUAUCAGACACUAUGCUAAACUCUAUGCAGGGCACAGG